ensembl:snRNA U2 U2 spliceosomal RNA
AUCAAUUUACAGACUUUUGGCUACAAUCAAGUGUUAUAUCUGUUCCUUUCAGUUUAAUAUUUGGUAAGUCUUCUAACUGAAGACAGUGUAUUAAGCGUAUUUUGGGGGCAAGGAGACAGAAUAGGGGCUUGCUCCAUCUAUUCCAUGCAUUGACCUGGUGUUGCCAUACCUGCAGGAUCAUUGCACCAAAA